rnacentral:rRNA from 1 species
AAGGGGAUAUCUCAAUUAUCCCUGUGCGCAGUGAUUUUGCAGAAUAAGGAGUGCUUAGGGGCUAGAGUAUCAUACGGCGACUGGUGAAAUGGGAUGACCCGUGUGGGAGUAACAGAGGCGAAAGCGCUGGCCAGGGGCGAAUCCGAUGGUAAAGGACGUAGGCUAGAGGAUCGAAGACGAUUAGAGACCGUUGUAGUUCUAGCAGUAAACGAUGCCGAUGUCGUGGUGCCGAAWAAUGGCGACGCGAAAGAGAAAUCGAGUAGGGCCCUGGGGAGAGUACACGCGCAAGCGAGAAAUUUAAAGGAAAUUGACGGAAGAACACCACAAGGAGUGGAGUGUGCGGCUUAAUUUGACUCAACGCGGGACAACUUACCGGGCCCGACGACCGUAAGAGUGUGACACACGAUAGGUCGAAGAGUGGUGCAUGGCCGUUAACGACGAGUGGAGUGAUCUUUGGGUUAAGUCCGUAAAUUAGUGAGACCUCAGCCGUAAGGGACAGGUGCGCAAAGCACAGGAAGGAUGGGUCAAGGACAGGUCAGUGAUGCCCUUAGAUGGUCCGGGCUGCACGCGCACUACAGUGGUCGCCGAAAUUAGCUGAUAAUUUUAAAGGCGAUCGAGAGGGAAUGAGCUUUGUAAGAGGCUCAGGAACGAG